CCGCAGCUAACGAAUUAAGUACUCCGCCUGGGAAGUACGGCCGCAAGGCUAAAACUCAAAGGAAUUGACGGGGGCCCGCACAAGCGGNGGAGNAUGUGGUUUACUUCGACGCAACGCGCAGAACCUUACCUGGGCUUGACAUCCGCGGANCCUUGUGGAAACACAGGGGUGCCUNCGGGAGCCGCGAGACAGGUGCUGCAUGGCUGUCGUCAGAUCGUGUCGUGANAUGUUGGNUUACGUCCCGCAACGANCGCAACCCCUAUCUUUU
rnacentral:rRNA from 1 species